GGAAACUGGAUGUUCUCCUAAAACAGCCACCUAGCCAAGCUGAACCAACAGAGAUGUAUUGAUCACCGGGUCAAUGGAACUAGGUGGGUGCUGGGGGGAAAGUCAGCAGGUAAGUCAGGUGAGGACUGCCUCCCUUCCACUCCCCACCCAGAGACUGAAGACAGACAGACAGACAGAGGCGUUCAUUCAGAAAGAAGUAGGAGGGCUUCAGGGAUUCAGCGGAGGAGACUGAAAGCCUGAGAGACGAUGCCUCUGAGAAGGUUACAGACCUUGGGAGAAAGCGCUUUCACCUCCUCACCACAGACACUCUCGACUGUGGACUCAGGACACUAAGCCAGAAAGGUGACGAUUUCCUUCUUGAACCCGGCCUGCAUCAGCAGCUCAGACCCAGGGCUCCGGGUCCUUUGCUCUAUGUCCAGUGCUCUUUUUGCUCCCUCACACACUUAGCGAUGGCAGUGUUCUUAGUAUACUCAAAGAGCUUUGUAAUGAAUUAGAGCAGCCAUUCCCAACCUUCCUAGUGCUGCGGUCCUUUAAUACAGUUUCUUAAGUUGUGGCGAACCAUCCCCCCCACCCCCAACCAUAACAUUAUUCUUGCUGCUGCUGUUAUGAAUCGUAAUGAAACAUUUGAUCUGCAGUACAUCUGAUAUGUGAUUCCCGAGAAAGGGCCAUCAUAUUCCAAGGGAUCGGGACCCACAGCGUGAGAAGCCCUGAACUAGAGAUCCGCCUAAACUGAGAAACAACCUAGCACCUAUCCCAGCCCAUCAAUGUUGUAUAUGGCAACAGAUUCAAAAGCCCAGACUAAAACAUACUCACCAUCCAUGUUACCAGCUCUCACCAUGGGGCAGCAAUGUGGAUUUAGUAAGCAUAGCCCACGGGCACUCAUUUUGAAGACACUAGGAGAACUUCAAAGCCAGGUUUGUUCUUCUGCCUCUGGUGACAUUUUUAAAAUUUCAGCACUGUUUUUUUUUUUAAUUGAUUCUUUGUGAAUUUCAUAUCAUGCACCUCAGUCCUGCACAUCUCCUGUCCCCUCCCUCCCUCCAACCUCCACCCUUCCCCAACAAAGAAAAAUAAGUCCCCACUAUGGAAGCUGUAGUGUGCCAUCGUGUGUCCUUUUGUCCACACUUCUUUGCUUGCAAGUGCUCAUUGCAUUGACUUUGUUGGUCUGGUACGAGUCAGGCCUCUGGCUUCUGCUAUGCUAACGAUGCUAGAACCUUACUGAGACUCCUCUAGGGUAGACUGUUGUCACCCCGUGUGUCAUGGAGACCCUGUAGUUUUGGAUCUGCAGGACUGGCUUCUUCACGUACUCCAGCAGUUCAUUGAUGGGAUAGACGUGGGGUGGGCUAACUCAAAGCCCUGGAUCUGGGCCUGAGAGGUGUCUGAGCUGCUCAGCCCACCAGCUCUCCAGUUCUUGUGGCCUUUGGAUUGGCUCGCCAGCAACCCCCUCUCCCAGGGCUAGCUCUCCUGGCUGACCAGGAACCUGACAAGACUGACUAGCCAUCUCUAGCAUUCAGAUAGGUGGAACUUCAUUGUGCUGAAGUUAUGUUUGAGCACCCUCUGCUGGACAAAUCAGGUAAGUACAGGAUUUUUUUUUUUUUUUUUGGUCUUGUGCCUUUUAAAUUCAUGCUCCGAAGAAGAGAAGAUUUUUAUCUCGAAUCUACACUAAAAGAAGUCUCCUCUUUAAACAGAUGCUCUAUGACUACCAACAAUGUACCAGUGGUAUUCGUCUCUUGCAGAUCUGGAAGAAAAUGAAAUUUAGAUGUGAGCGAGCAGUCUCCUUCCUGCUGCUGCAGCUGCAAGCUGCUCCUGCCGCCCAUGCCUUCUCUACUGCCAUGCCUUCCCUACCACAAGGGCCAGAACUCUCACACUGAAAGCCAGAAUAAAUCCUUCCUCUCUUCGGUUGGUUGUUGUCAGGAGAAGGCAGCAGCUGGCAUCAAUGGUGUGGUGAGGAGAGAAUCAAGUUUCCUUCUCCAGUUCAAACAGACGAAAGUGAAGCGACAUAGGCUCAAGGACAGGGUCACUGGGCUAGCGCCACACCAUGGAGCCAAACCCCGAGCCUUCUAAAUUGUGAGCUGGGCAUGGUGGUUCACCCCAGGAAUCGCAGCACUGAGGGAUGAAGGCGAGAGAGUCACUGUGGGUGUGACAUCAGUCUGGCCUGAAGUCUGAGACUGUUUUUUUAAAAAGAAAACAUUUUUUUAUGUCAUAUAUUUAAUUAUAUAAAGAUUCUGUUGUUUUGUUGUUGUUGUUGUUAAAAUUCAGCCAGGAAAUUUCCAUCUGUCUGGUGUUAAUUGGUUGUUUUUCAGCACUAAUUGGGAAAUGAUAUAUUUUUAUUGUUUUAUAAAUAGAGUAAAACCCCUCAGAAACUGCUGGGGAAAUUUAAACAAGGAAAGCAAUUCUAUGUCCUUGCUUGACACCAGUUUGUCCCAGAGGUGACACAACUGUGUAGUUUUUGAAAACACUGGGCAUUUAUAUAUAUAUGAGACAAAACCCCACUGUAUAGCCCUGGCUAACUCGAAACUCACUAUGUAAAUCAGGCUGGGCUUUGACACACAGAGCUCUGCCUUUGCCUACUCAGUGUUGGGAUUUAACACCCACACCACCAUAGCCAGCCUUCUCUCCAAGGGGCAAAUUUCUUUCUGAAGCAACUUCCUCAUUUAUUAACAGUAUUGCUUCCAGACCCCGUGUGUGUGUGUGUGUGUGUGUGUGUGUGUGUGUGUGUGUGUACAGAUAUGUGUUUGCAAGUAUUUAGACACAAGUUGAUGCAGACUACACCAGUUUCAUGAAAUUGUUCCCAUGUCAGUGGCUAGUCUGAGCCUUUUGUACUUGUAAACAGCUGGCUGUAAACUGGGGAUUCCCAUACUCUCCUCUUCAGCCCCAUAAUUAUCAUGGUGAUUUGCAACCUGUAGGUAAUGACCCGUUUGGCUCAUAUAUCAGAUAUUCUGCAUGUCAGAUAUUUAUAUUUUGAUUCAUAACAAUAGUAAAAUUAUAGUUAUGAAGUAGUAAUGUAAAUAGUUACACUGUGGGGGUCACCACAACACGAGGAACUGUGUUAAAUGGCUUCAGCAAUAGGAAGGUUGAGAGCCACUGAUUUAUUAGGUCAUUUCAUGGAUCGUGGGGAUGCUUUCUACUUUCAUCUAUUGUUUAUUACAAAAGAUGUAGACAGACAGAUAGAUAGACAGACUCACAGAUAAAUAGAAAAAUAGAUGACAGAAAGAUAGAAAGUUAGGUAAAAAGAUAAAAAGAUAGGUAGAUGCUAGAAAGAUAGAUAGACUCAAAGACAAAUAGAAAGAUAGAUAAUAGAGAAAGGUGGAAAGAAAAAUAGAUAGAUGAUGGAAAGAUAGGUAGAUAGACUGACAGAAUGA
rnacentral:lncRNA from 1 species